UUCACUCCUUCUCUCCUUUCUUUUUCUCUCCCUCUUUCCUUCCUUCUCUCUCUUUCUUUCUUUCUUUCUUUCUCCAUUCUUUUUCUCUCUCUCUGAAUCGUAAUUCCUCUCUCGAUGACUACUGUGUCUAAGAAAAUUAGAUUUUAAGCAGUUUUUUUAAAAUGGAAAAAAAAUAGACACUGAAUAAAUCCAUAUUUCCUUUCCUUCUCUAUCAAGACUUAGGUCAAAGUCUUCCAGUAAUUACCUAGAUGAAAAGAGAGAGAGAGAGGUCGGACUCUACUUCUUGUUGAAUCUCCCUGGAGAGCAGACUGCCUUAAAAAGAGUCUAAAGAGCUUGAAAAUGGAGAGCUCAUGCAAGCGAGCCAAGUUGCAUUUUUUUGCAAAACCACAUCGGAUCUUGGCUGCCCUUUUUCAGGACUUCCAGCUGUUCCCCCGUUCUCCACCUGGAGCCAGGACAGCCUGAAAAAAAAUCUGUCCGGUAACGCCGACCUCUUUGUAGGGAUGCCAUCCGUAAUCGUCCCGCCCCCCCUGCCGCUUAGAUCCGUG